rnacentral:sRNA from 1 species
AGUAACACUCUGGGAGGGCUCAGGCCACAUCACCAAAUGUGACAGGAUAGCCUUGAACUCAUCAAUUGCUGGGGGCACCUCAAACUCAACUCCAAAAUUGAUCUAAUGAACUUUCCCAAACCACAUUCCCUUCUUGCAUUUCUGAGAGAAUGGAUUCCCAUUCAUCUGACUACAGUGCUAUCCUGAAAGCAGAUCCAGAGACUUAGAUUUCACCUGCAGAUGAUUCAUUUGCAAGGUAAGCUGUCAUCAGUUGGAGGUAAGCGGAAGACAGUAGAGAGUACAGAGCCCUGGACUGUGACUCAGAGGAUGAGCACCAGAUCCAGUUUGCUGUGCCACAGUGCCUUCUCCAAAGUCACUCACAGAAGGCAUCCCACUCAACCUCACCUUGGGGCAAAUCAAAAUAGUCCUCCUUCUGAAGCUACCGGGUAAAGCGGUGGUAGUUGUGCAGCUGCUGCUGAUCAACAGGCUCCAGAAACAGCAGCAGGAGGUGAGCAGUCCCUGCGUUGGCCACCAAGUGGUAGGUGGCCAGCCCUACCUC